rnacentral:rRNA from 1 species
GUACUCAGAGACGUUGACUCCUGCUCAGGACACGCUGCGGCGUGCUACACAUGCAAGUCGACGGAAAGGCCCUGCUUGCAGGGUACGUCGAGUGGCGAACGGGUGAGUAACAUGUGGGUGAUCUGCCCUGCAUUCGGGAUAAGCCUGGGAAACUGGGUCGUAAUACCGGAUAGGAGCCAUUUUUAGUGUGAUGGUUGGAAAGUUUUUCGGUGUAGGAUGAGCUCGCGGCCUAUCAGCUUGUUGGUGGGGGUAAUGGGCCUACCAAGGCGGCGACGGGUAGCCGGCCUGAGAGGGUGGACGGUCACAUUGGGACUGAGAUACGGCCCAGACUCCUACGGGAGGCAGCAGUGGGGAAUAUUGCACAAUGGGCGCAAGCCUGAUGCAGCGACGCCGCGUGGGGGAUGACGGCCUUCGGGUUGUAAACUCCUUUCGCUAGGGACGAAGCUUUUUGUGACGGUACCUAGAUAAGAAGCACCGGCUAACUACGUG